AGCGAGCUUGCCUAGAUGAUUUUAGUGCUUGCACUAAAUGAAACUAGAUACAAGCGAGCGGCGGACGGGUGAGUAACACGUGGGUAACCUGCCCAAGAGACUGGGAUAACACCUGGAAACAGAUGCUAAUACCGGAUAACAACACUAGACGCAUGUCUAGAGUUUGAAAGAUGGUUCUGCUAUCACUUUUGGAUGGACCUGCGGUGCAUUAGCUAGUUGGUAAGGUAACGGCUUACCAAGGCAAUGAUGCAUAGCCGAGUUGAGAGACUGAUCGGCCACAUUGGGACUGAGACACGGCCCAAACUCCUACGGGAGGCAGCAGUAGGGAAUCUUCCACAAUGGACGAAAGUCUGAUGGAGCAACGCCGCGUGAGUGAAGAAGGGUUUCGGCUCGUAAAGCUCUGUUGGUAGUGAAGAAAGAUAGAGGUAGUAACUGGCCUUUAUUUGACGGUAAUUACUUAGAAAGUCACGGCUAACUACGUGCCAGCAGCCGCGGUAAUACGUAGGUGGCAAGCGUUGUCCGGAUUUAUUGGGCGUAAAGCGAGUGCAGGCGGUUCAAUAAGUCUGAUGUGAAAGCCUUCGGCUCAACCGGAGAAUUGCACCAGAAACUGUUGAACUUGAGUGCAGAAGAGGAGAGUGGAACUCCAUGUGUAGCGGUGAAAAGCGUAGAUAUAUGGAAGAACACCAGUGGCGAAGGCGGCUCUC
rnacentral:rRNA from 1 species